AAUUAUAAAACUAAUUGUACAAGUUGUGGCUAAUUUGCGAGAUGAAUAUAUUAAACCUAAUUAAUCCAUAAUUAGCACAUAUUUACUGUAGCAUCACAUGGACAAAUCAUGGACUAAUUAGGUUUAAUACAUUCGUCUCACAAAUUAGCCUCCAUUUAUGCAAUUAGUUUUGUAAUUAACCUAUGUUUAAUACUUCUAAUUAGUAUCAAACAUUUGAUGUGAUAUGGACUAAAUUUUAGUCCAUGUCUCCAAACAGAACCUAAUUAGUUUAGUUACUUUGUGCAAACUAAAAGCCCUUCUACCUAUAUAGGCUAUAGGGUUCAAAUGUGCAAGGCAACGAGUCUCCUAGACAUCGUUCUGUACUGAGAUUUGUGCCGGGAGCAUUAAAAUCCAUAUAAACACACAUCGGCUGUCAACGUCACUUUGCUAGGAUCUUCCCACCUUUUCACUCAAAUUCUAUGUAUCCAGCUAUCUUACUAUUACUAAUUGGAGAUUUCUUAAAAGAUUCUAGGUGAAGCCACCUAGAAUCCUCGGUGGAUACUCUAGAAAAAGAGAGAACUCCUAGAAAUUCUCAUAAAAAGCAAAACAUUGUGCCAUCAAUCGGUAGAAUAAAAUCAUCAAAGCCAUUGGAUCUAUUAUGUUUUAUAAAAAAUUAUCCACCUAUACCAUUAUAAAAUAGUCUAAAGUAACCAUCUAAAUCUAUAUCUAAAUUACCCACCUCUACCAUUAUUAAAAUAAAAUAAAUUAAUUCCUAAUCUUCAUCAAAAUUGCCCACUUAUGCCAUUACAAAAAUAAUUUAAAAUAACCCCCUAAAUGUGCAACUAAAUUGCCCAUAACUAAUACUUAAAAAUAACCUUUUUAAAGUAACCCCUUAAAUUUGCAUCUCAUACGUCAUUAAUAAAAAUAACAUGAGGUAACCUUAAAUUUUAAUCCAAAU
rnacentral:lncRNA from 1 species